AAAAAAGACAAAUUUAGGUUUCCGUAUCCAACGUUUGACCAUCCGUCUUAUUUAAAAAAAAUAUAAAAAAUAUUAAAAAGACAAGUCACGCAUAAAGUAUUAAUUAUGUUUUAUCAUCUAACAACAAUAAAAAUACUAAUUAUAAAAAAAUUUCAUAUAAGACGGACAGUCAAAUGUUGGACACGAAAAUUCAGGGUUUGUCUUUUU
rfam:Oryza glumipatula chromosome 8, whole genome shotgun sequence.